rnacentral:rRNA from 1 species
UACAGAGGGUGCGAGCGUUAAUCGGAAUUACUGGGCGUAAAGCGUGCGUAGACGGUUAUUUAAGUCGGAUGUGAAAGCCCCGGGCUCAACCUGGGAAUUACAUUCGAGACUGAAUAGCUAGGGUGCGGUAGAGGGAAGCGGAAUUUCCGGUGUAGCGGUGAAAUGCGUAGAUAUCGGAAGGAACAUCAGUGGCGAAAGCGGCUUCCUGGACCAGCACCGACGUUCAGGCACGAAAGCGUGGGGAGCAAACAGG